rnacentral:rRNA from 1 species
GACGAACGCUGGCGGCGUGCUUAACACAUGCAAGUCGAACGGAAAGGCCCUGCUUUUGUGGGGUGCUCGAGUGGCGAACGGGUGAGUAGCACGUGAGUAACCUGCCCUUGACUUUGGGAUAACUUCAGGAAACUGGGGCUAAUACCGGAUAGGAGCUCCUGCUGCAUGGUGGGGGUUGGAAAGUUUCGGCGGUUGGGGAUGGACUCGCGGCUUAUCAGCCUGUUGGUGGGGUAGUGGCUUACCAAGGCUUUGACGGGUAGCCGGCCUGGGAGGGUGACCGGCCACAUUGGGACUGAGAGACGGCCCAGACUCCUACGGGAGGCAGCAGUGGGGAACAUUGCACAAUGGGCGGAAGCCUGAUGCAGCAACGCCGCGUGCGGGAUGACGGCCUUCGGGUUGUAAACCUCUUUCGCCUGUGACGAAGCGUGAGUGACGGUAAUGGGUAAAGAAGCACCGGCUAACUACGUG